rnacentral:tmRNA from 1 species
GGGGCUGACAGGUUUCGACACCAGUUUCGUUGGCCGGACGUGCGACCCGAGUUGCUCAGACUCGUUAAACAGGGCAAAAAAAGAAUUGCCAACGAGCAGUUCGCUCUCGCCGCCUAAUUCAUUAGGUAGUUGAGAGACACCGUGAGCAGCAAUGCCGCACGGGGCCAAUCCAUCGCAGCCCGGCAACAGAAGCGAAGGAUGACAGCGAGAAAGAACGCUGGCUGCAGGAAAGUCUGCUGACAUGUCGCAAAGACGGCACGUGGCCCACCACUUCGGUGAUGGGAAAUCGACCCACCGGUGGUGUUGCGUUAGCACCGAAGUGGGAAUGGUCGUAGCGCGGUCGUCUAGCGCCUGAUGGACGGGGGUUCGAUUCCCCCCAGCUCCACCA